rnacentral:rRNA from 1 species
GGGUUGUGAGGUUAAGCGACUAAGCGUACACGGUGGAUGCCCUGGCAGUCAGAGGCGAUGAAGGACGUGCUAAUCUGCGAUAAGCGCCGGUAAGGUGAUAUGAACCGUUAUAACCGGCGAUUUCCGAAUGGGGAAACCCAGUGUGAUUCGUCACACUAUCAUUAACUGAAUCCAUAGGUUAAUGAGGCGAACCGGGGGAACUGAAACAUCUAAGUACCCCGAGGAAAAGAAAUCAACCGAGAUUCCCCCAGUAGCGGCGAGCGAACGGGGAGGAGCCCAGAGCCUGAAUCAGCAUGUGUGUUAGUGGAAGCGUCUGGAAAGGCGCGCGAUACAGGGUGACAGCCCCGUACACAAAAGCGCAUGUGCUGUGAGCUCGAUGAGUAGGGCGGGACACGUGGUAUCCUGUCUGAAUAUGGGGGGACCAUCCUCCAAGGCUAAAUACUCCUGACUGACCGAUAGUGAACCAGUACCGUGAGGGAAAGGCGAAAAGAACCCCGGCGAGGGGAGUGAAAAAGAACCUGAAACCGUGUACGUACAAGCAGUGGGAGCACCCUUCGGGGUGUGACUGCGUACCUUUUGUAUAAUGGGUCAGCGACUUAUAUUCUGUAGCAAGGUUAACCGUAUAGGGGAGCCGGAGGGAAACCGAGUCUUAAUUGGGCGUUAAGUUGCAGGGUAUAGACCCGAAACCCGGUGAUCUAGCCAUGGGCAGGUUGAAGGUUGGGUAACACUAACUGGAGGACCGAACCGACUAAUGUUGAAAAAUUAGCGGAUGACCUGUGGCUGGGGGUGAAAGGCCAAUCAAACCGGGAGAUAGCUGGUUCUCCCCGAAAGCUAUUUAGGUAGCGCCUCGUGAAUUCAUCUCCGGGGGUAGAGCACUGUUUCGGCUAGGGGGCCAUCCCGGCUUACCAACCCGAUGCAAACUGCGAAUACCGGAGAAUGUUAUCACGGGAGACACACGGCGGGUGCUAACGUCCGUCGUGAAGAGGGAAACAACCCAGACCGCCAGCUAAGGUCCCAAAGUCAUGGUUAAGUGGGAAACGAUGUGGGAAGGCCCAGACAGCCAGGAUGUUGGCUUAGAAGCAGCCAUCAUUUAAAGAAAGCGUAAUAGCUCACUGGUCGAGUCGGCCUGCGCGGAAGAUGUAACGGGGCUAAACCAUGCACCGAAGCUGCGGCAGCGA